UACGAAGGGGGCUAGCGUUGUUCGGAAUUACUGGGCGUAAAGCGCGCGCAGGCGGCUAUCCAAGUCAGUGGUGAAAGCCCGGAGCUCAACUCCGGAACUGCCAUUGAAACUGUUUAGCUGGAGUAUGAGAGAGGUGAGUGGAAUUCCCAGUGUAGAGGUGAAAUUCGUAGAUAUUCGCAAGAACACCAGUGGCGAAGGCGGCUCACUGGCCCGGUACUGACGCUGAGGUGCGAAAGCGUGGGGAGCAAACAGG
rnacentral:rRNA from 1 species